ensembl:lncRNA
CAUAAAAAUGUUUGUUCUGACAAAACUUAUUAGAGAGACUUGGCUGGACAUUUGCUUCAUACUUCUCUUCUUCAGGAAAGAUCAAUUCAAACUACCUAUAAAUCAUAGAGUUCAUAGAAAAGUGUUAUCCUCCGAUGUUCUUGCAGACUCCACGGAUAAGAAAAUAAGCCAUCUCAGGUCAAGUGAUCCAAAAAUAAGCUCAAACACUGAAGAGACAUAGACAUGUGAAUUCAUUUAAUCAUUUCUGUCAGAGAAAGAUUAAACUGAUGACAAAGCAUGAUUAGUAUAAGACGUGAAAGAGUCGACUCAUGAGAGAAAAAACAUUUUCAGUAUACUAUGUAGUAAAUAGCUUGAUUCGAUUAUUUGAUAAACAGUUAUCACUGAUCAAUGAGCUCAAUUCAGUUUUGCUUUCCUGUUUUGUUCAAAUGAACAACUUCAGAUCAGUUUGAUUGAUAUUAGUAAAUGCUGUAAAUGUCUCAAAUUUAAUAUUCAUGUUAAAUUAGGAAUGUUACGAAUUAAAGAUAUCAUCUUAAAAUGUUUAUUUUCUUUGUUGUUGUUUUUUUUUAGUUUCUUCUGGAUUCUAUUUUGAAGGAAGAAAAGACGCAUUUUUAUGUUUUUUGGAGGGAUCUUAUGGAUAUUUUGAUUGUAAUGCAAGAGACAUCAUCUGGGUGGACGAAACUGGAGCCAAGGUUUCUGAAUAUUUGACCCAUUCUUUUAUCAAAUGUUAUUCUGCUGAGAUCAUAAUACGUCGCCCUGGAAACAACAAAAGAUUCACCUGCCAGUUUGUUGAGAACAACAAAGUGAUAAUAGACACUGUCUACAUUCCUAAAGACAUCAGUGGACAAACUGAACAUCUCUAUCACAGAGUUGGAGAUGACGUCGUUUUACCUUGUAGAGCUAAAUCCUCCUCUUCCUCGUGCUCUGAUGUUAACUGGCUGUACUGGACAGAUCCAACUGCAUCAUUUAUAACAGAAAUACAGGUUGAAGAUUUUGAGCAGAGAUCAGUUGGAACUUCUAGAUUGAGUUUGAGCAGUAACUGCUCUCUGCUGAUCAGAAACAUCACAGAUGAGGAUGCUAGAGAAUAUGUCUGUCGGGUUGUGAACGAGAGCGAUGCCAAUGUGGUUCUUAAUACUUUGAGCGAUCCACCAGACGUUCAUCCAAGAGGAAAUGGAGAUAUCACAUUACGGUGUUCACUGAAUAGAUAUGAUAAAAGAAUUCCCUGUGAACAGAACAGCAUCAUCUGGAUGGAUGAGAGAGGAUCUCAGCUGACUGGUGAAGGUGUUGGGUUUGAGUUUAGAGGAAAAACAAACUGUGUUUCUGUUCUGACUGUGAAACAUCAGAGUGGAAACAAUAAAACAGUCACCUGCCGGUUUAUUGAGGACAACAAAGUGAAGAUAGAUGCUGACUGUGUUCUACACUUUUCAGGUAAAUAUGCGGCCGGUCUAUUUUGAAAGUGUGAACUCUCUGAUGAUUGUUGAGGAAAUAGGCUAUAUGUGAGAUGAAAGCGUACAAGCAUUUGAAGUCAAGGCAAAAAUGUUUAUUUGAUGUUGUUGUGUCUUUUAACUGCAGAUCUUCCUGGUCUCAACCUCAUCAUCAUCGGUGGAGCAGUGAUGAAGGUGGUGUUGAUGUUUCUGGGUGUGGUUGCUGCUCUGGUCUACGUGUACAGGAGGAGAACCAAAGGAAAUGAAGAACAGAGAACUAGAACAAGUAUGCUAAAUCUUUUACUCUUCAAAGUCUUCCGAUGUGGAUGAUGAUAUUUCCUGUUUCUCUCAGUUCGAGAAAAUAAUUGAAAUUGAUGUCAGAAAUUGUUAUUUAUUUGAAAAUGUUUGUCUGUAUGAUCUUCUACAUUGUGUUUCUCCAGGAAGAACCACUGAAAAUGAUGAUGAAGAUGCCCUGUGAAGAGGAGAUGCAAGAAACUCUUCUGACAGAAAAACAACAUUUGAGCCUAUACAUUUUUUCUUUAACAUUGUUGAAUUAGCGCAAGUUUAAUCUUUUUGCAGACUGCUCUUCUUUUUACUAGCUUUACAUGCUAACAUGUUCUGAAGUUAAAGUGAUAAAAUAAUUUUCUGUUUGAAUUUUUUUAACCAUUUUACACAGAGUGUUCAUGUUCUUGGAGUUUUGCCUUCUUUUGCUUAAGACAUUUUUAGAGAGCUGCUUAAAUAUGAAUUAUGUAUUACAAGACAUGCUUUUGGAUAUCGUUUUUCUUAU